GAUGAACGCUGGCGGCGUGCCUAAUACAUGCAAGUCGAGCGAACAGACGAGGAGCUUGCUCCUCUGACGUUAGCGGCGGACGGGUGAGUAACACGUGGAUAACCUACCUAUAAGACUGGGAUAACUUCGGGAAACCGGAGCUAAUACCGGAUAAUAUAUUGAACCGCAUGGUUCAAUAGUGAAAGACGGUUUUGCUGUCACUUAUAGAUGGAUCCGCGCCGCAUUAGCUAGUUGGUAAGGUAACGGCUUACCAAGGCAACGAUGCGUAGCCGACCUGAGAGGGUGAUCGGCCACACGGGAACUGAAACACGGUCCAGACUCCUACGGGAGGCAGCAGUAGGGAAUCUUCCGCAAUGGGCGAAAGCUUGACGGAGCAACGCCGCGUGAGUGAUGAAGGUCUUCGGAUCGUAAAACUCUGUUAUUAGGGAAGAACAAAUGUGUAAGUAACUAUGCACGUCUUGACGGUACCUAAUCAGAAAGCCACGGCUAACUACGUG
rnacentral:rRNA from 1 species